UGUUAAAAUUUUAUCUAUUUGUACUAUUAAAAACUGGUAUGGCUGACAAAAUACUAAGACAGUAAUGCUUUGUGUGUUAUAUGUAUCUCAUGCUAAUAUACAGUGAUAAUUUUUAACAAUAGAAAUAGAUGAAAAUUUUUAACA
rfam:Gossypium raimondii Chr02_contig_560, whole genome shotgun sequence.